AGUUCGGUCCCUAUCUGCCGUGGGCGUUUGAGAAUUGAGAGGGGUUGCUCCUAGUACGAGAGGACCGGAGUGAACGAACCGCUGGUGUUCGGGUUGUCAUGCCAAUGGCAUUGCCCGGUAGCUACGUUCGGAACUGAUAAGCGCUGAAAGCAUCUAAGCGCGAAGCAGGCCUCGAGAUGAGUUCUCACUA
rnacentral:rRNA from 14 species